ensembl:lncRNA
AGCAAAGGACGGACUGUUUGAGAUAAAGACAUUUAAUUGACACAUCUGCUGAUUCACAGAGACCUGCAUGUUCUUUAGCUGUGCUAUUCCACCACAAAGCCUGUCUUGUGGUAGAGUUGUUGCUGCUGUGCCACUCUGAUGCAAGGAACAUUAUCUGGACUUGUGCUGGUAACUGCAGGGCACAACCCCUGGCUUUGUCAUCUUCACCAUUUCAGCGGUCCUUCAGACCCACAUACAUGUGCAGGGCACAGAAAAGUAAUUUCCACCUUGGGGGCCCAUGAAAUUUGUCAUGCAGCGUGCAGUUAUAGGUCUUCCUGCAGGCUAUUUGGAGUCCUUGCAGCUGUGAGGGAAUUGCAUGGCAGAUCCAGGUAAGCCUGGCUGAAAUAGAAUGUUCAGCAGGGAAGGCUCAGAUAUUGGGAACCCUUCCUGUUGGAGUGCUCGUAAGCUACAGGAUCAUUUUCCUCUUGGUUGUGUUGUUUUCUGUUUCCUAUACAGGCUGGAUAUCACUUAGCUGCACAUCCCAUAGAGGAAUGGGACCUUCCUGGACCCCCUGCCCCCAGUGACACAAGGAUGUCCAGGACUUUAAUUUCUACCAAAAUGUGUGAUGACAAUAAUGAAAAACUGAAGCUGUCCUAACACUGUAGCAAUCAGGUAUUGAAGCUUUGACACCAGCGUUAACUGUUAGGCACAGACCAUUUUGAUAGCAGUUAUCACAUGGGUAAAACCAUUGCCUCCCUCCCUCUCACCUGCUUCAUCCCUUUAACAAAAGGUGUCUAUAUGUAUCAAAGUUUGUGCUGAGAAAGUCCUGCUUAGUCAUGAUGUGAGUAAUGACUUCCAGAUCUGAGAGUGGAGGGACUCUUAUGCUUGGAACAAGGGCUUGCCUUACUGGCAUUUCUCUUCAGAAUAUGUAGCAGAUCUUUGAUAGAUAGAUCUGUGAUAGAAUGUAAUUAAAUUUAUCAGGUUCCAAAAUUCAGAGAAAAUCUAAUACUUCCACGAUUUUCCGUAGCUCCACAAGAAUGUUUGACAGAAUUUGCAAUGCUUAUUAUAGCAGUGGAUAUCAGUCUGUGGAGAGCAUUUUGAAGAGCAGAGUGCUACCAUAGGUAACAGCAAGGUGAGCUUGCUACCAGAGCACUGGGACAGUGCAGAGAGUGUUACUCUUUCUAAAACACUCCACAGGCCAACAGAACACAGCCAAGCAGACAAAUAGUUGUGUUUCUCUCCUUUGUAUUAAGCUGUGUAGUAUCCCUCAGAAGGCCCUGCAGCAAAGAAGGAUUGAUGCAUGUAACAGUGAAUUUCAUCCUGCUCCUCGAGGACGGGAGGCAAUUUCUGUGCCUUUCCUCUUCAUUUUAUGUGGUUCACCAUGCCCUUUGCUUCAUGCUUUUCAAGUCCUUGAGCAUAAUCAAAAUAGUACAUGCUGUCUGUAACCUCAAAGUAAGGCAGAUAAUUUAGAAAAUGUUUCCACAUAUCCUUUCUUCCCUGAUUUUUCAUUUGACCUCAGAUUAUUUUGGUUUCUUUUUGGCAUCUAAUAUCAAAGACUACAGCUGAAGUCAGCCCUACAAAAGAUAUGUGAAGAGCAACAUCACAUUUUCAGACUGAGAAGGGUUCUUGUCUGGAUGGUAUAAUUUUGAAGAAGUCUCAUUUGCCUGCAAUAAAAUAUUAAUUCAAUGCUUUCCA